UUUGGCAGUUCCCAGAAGCUGUCAGCUUCUGUGGUGCAGACUCUCACCUGUGCAUAUUAAUUUCCUAAGUUCUGCGGAGUCCCGGAACCAAGAAGUUAUGAAUUUUAAAACAGGGGUUUCAAUGGAUGAAUGCCUUUGAGAUCACAUUCAGUGCCUUGCAGCUUAUCCAGAUGCCAGAAUAAAAAUAUAGAAAACAGGAGUCUAUCAUGGCUGCCAUCCAAGAGGCCCAACAAGCAGCUGCAAGAGCCAGAUGUAGAUACUAGCACCCAUCCACUGAACAGAAGCUGGGGAUCCCUGUAGUUGUAGGAAAGCUGGAAGAAGCUGAGGAGGAAGGCUGCCCCAUGGAAGACCAGCAGUUUCAACUGAACUGGACCCUGGAGAUGUCUCAGACACUGGGCCACCAAACAGGCAGCAUACACCAGCUGUUAUGAGACCCACAACACAUAUACAACAGAGCACUGCCUGGUCUGGCCUCAGAAAGAGAAGAUGCACCUAACCCUGGAAAGACUUGAGGCCCCAGGGAGUGCAGAGGCCUGAUGGGUAGGAGUCAAAGUGUAGGGACAUCCUCUUGGACACCAGAGGUGAGAGGAAGUAUGGGAUGGGGAGCAGUCUGGGGCAGGGGUGGGGGUGAUAAACCAUGAGGGUGAUGAAGACUGGACUGUGAAAAAGGAUUAAAGAAAAAAAAAAAACUCAUGGGAAACAUGUUACCUACAGCAGCAAAUCUUACUUGCUGAAAUCUCCAUCCAGAGUUGAAGACCAUAUCUGAACUCCAUUACCCUUUUCAUGAGGUGUCCAUCUUCCUGCUAUGAGAAGAGUUACUAGCUUUAACCCUUACCUGAAUGUUAACUUCUAUAAUUUUGUAAA
rnacentral:lncRNA from 1 species